rnacentral:pre_miRNA from 1 species
AUAACAGAAUGUUAUUACGUUGUCUAUAUAUACCCUGUAGAACCGAAUUUGUGUGGUAUUUACAUAGUCACAGAUUCGAUUCUAGGGGAAUAUAUGGUCGAUGCAAAAACUUCACAUUUCUGCAAAUGGUUAAAAUUAUAAAUGUCUGGG